rnacentral:rRNA from 1 species
UACGUAGGGACCAAGCGUUGUCCGGAAUCAUUGGGCGUAAAGAGCGUGUAGGCGGCUUGUUAAGUCUUGCGUGAAAUCUCGGGGCUCAACCCCGAGCGGUCGUGAGAAACUGGCAGGCUAGAGUCCGGAAGAGGAGAGUGGAAUUCCUGGUGUAGCGGUGAAAUGCGCAGAUAUCAGGAGGAACACCCGUGGCGAAAGCGGCUCUCUGGGACGGUACUGACGCUGAGACGCGAAAGCGUGGGGAGCAAACAGG